rnacentral:rRNA from 2 species
GAAACCGCCCAGAGGUAAACGGGUGGAUCCGCAAAGUCGGCCCGUGGAAUUCAGCGUGUGCGGAGGGUCCGGGAAUCGGGCCGGGGAUCUUCGGACCCCGCCCAGCUCUCGACUGGGCCCGACGCCGCGUGCACUUUCCGCGGGCAGAGCGCCACGACCGGUUUCGCGGCGGCGAUAAGCCCGUUCGGAUGCGUGGCACGAUCUCACGGUCGUGCUACGGCCGCUCGCGGUGAGCCGCUGUCGGGACCGAGGGACGGCCGCGUGCUUCGAGGCUGCCCGGCCUCGCUGGGGAGUUCGACUGGCAGGGACUGGGCAACCGUGCCUGCCGACUGCUCCCCGGUGCCGGUUCGGGACAGCCGGGCGCGUCAGGGGGUCGGUGGCGAGUCUGUCGGCAUUCCACCCGACC